rnacentral:lncRNA from 1 species
CACACAGCGACCGGCUUUCUGUCACUCGUCAGUGAGUCUUACUGGGAAAUGAUCGGAAGCCCGCUGUGUUAAGCAGUGGGCGUGUGUGACUUCUCCAUUCCGAAAGCAUUGCUUCCCAACCGGAGAAGCGUACGCCUGGUCUUUUCAACAGCGCUUAGCACGUUCCGGUGGUCCUUCCAUAUUUACUGAUCCUCAGGAAUUUUUCUGGGUGCUUUGUGGACUUGGCCUGGGUCCUUGGUUGAGGCCAGGAGGGAACUAUUGAGAGUGCUCAUCCGGUGACCCCUGGCAGCCACGGUCCCCUGAGAAACAGCUCUGUUCAGCCGCCCUGCAGUGCAGUCCCUGCUGUGGGCCCCUUUGGCCAUCGUGUGUCAGUGCUCUGCCCCAGCACAAACUCAGGGCCGCCUGGUCACCAGGCAGGGACAGUGUGAAAGGACGCACCAGGCCGGUGGUGACAGCAGAAACAGUCCGCUGGCGUGGGAGGCUGGAGCCCCAGGAAAGGGUCAGCUGGCGUGGGAGCCUGGAGCCCCAGGAAACAGUCAGCUGGCGUGGGAGGCUGGAGCCCCAGGAAACAGUCAGCUGGCGUGGGCGAACCAUGCCCAGCUUCAGGGUGGACAGAGGGAGGGGACACCUGAGUGGCCUGCCCUGCCAGUGACCCUCUCUGUUCUUUGCACCACCCAGCCGAGGCUCCUUUUGCUGUGUGUUUCGGGUUUCCAGCUGGGUCAGGUCCCUAGGGUGACAUCUGUGGCCCAAGCUUUGGGCACAGGCAGAAGCCUGGAGCUGAGCUCCAGGGGAGGGAUAAGAACACACAGGGAGUCUUACAUGCUCCCCCUGGGCGUUGCUGAAGGUGCUUUCUGUGAUUCCUUUAGAGCUGGCCCAGCACGUCUGGACCUGGUUUUACAAGUGGGGAAACUGAGGCAGUGCCGUGUGGCCUCCAGGGCUCACUCUGAGAUGGGCGCUGAGAACGGAAUGAGUGUGGGGAGCCGCUGUGAUUUCAGAGCCCACUGAGUGCUGCUCCUGUUUUCUACCCCGGUGCAGGGCACAGUCUGUCUCGAGCUCCGUGGGGUUCUGGGGCGUCCGCAGGUCCACGGGGAGGCGGGCAGAGGCCAGGCUACACGCACAUGAAGCCCCUGGAAGAUUCACCGUGUCCAAUUCCAAAACACCCUGCAGCCGCAGUGGGAGACACGUCUCCCAUGAGGUGGGGUCUACCUUUGGCCCGCCACCGGUUUCUGUACAGGUGGUUUUAUUUAGUUUUGUGGUGCUAAGAAUCAAACGCGGGGCCUUCACCUUGAGCUUCACCCCCAGCCCUUUAAAAACUUUAGUUGUGUAUUUCUGAAGAAACAUGGCUUUUGAGA